UCCUCCUUAGUUCAGUCGGUAGAACGGCGGACUGUUAAUCCGUAUGUCACAGGUCCGAGUCCUGUAGGAGGAGCCA
rnacentral:tRNA from 2 species